UGGCGGCAGCUUACACAUGCAGUCGAGCGGGGAGAGUAGCUUGCUACUUUACCUAGCGGCGGACGGGUGAGUAAUGCUUAGGAAUCUGCCUAUUAGUGGGGGACAACAUCUCGAAAGGGAUGCUAAUACCGCAUACGUCCUACGGGAGAAAGCAGGGGACCUUCGGGCCUUGCGCUAAUAGAUGAGCCUAAGUCGGAUUAGCUAGUUGGUGGGGUAAAGGCCUACCAAGGCGACGAUCUGUAGCGGGUCUGAGAGGAUGAUCCGCCACACUGGGACUGAGACACGGCCCAGACUCCUACGGGAGGCAGCAGUGGGGAAUAUUGGACAAUGGGGGGAACCCUGAUCCAGCCAUGCCGCGUGUGUGAAGAAGGCCUUUUGGUUGUAAAGCACUUUAAGCGAGGAGGAGGCUACCGAGAUUAAUACUCUUGGAUAGUGGACGUUACUCGCAGAAUAAGCACCGGCUAACUCUGUGCCAGCAGCCGCGGUAAUACAGAGGGUGCAAGCGUUAAUCGGAUUUACUGGGCGUAAAGCGCGCGUAGGUGGCCAAUUAAGUCAAAUGUGAAAUCCCCGAGCUUAACUUGGGAAUUGCAUUCGAUACUGGUUGGCUAGAGUAUGGGAGAGGAUGGUAGAAUUCCAGGUGUAGCGGUGAAAUGCGUAGAGAUCUGGAGGAAUACCGAUGGCGAAGGCAGCCAUCUGGCCUAAUACUGACACUGAGGUGCGAAAGCAUGGGGAGCAAACAGGAUUAGAUACCCUGGUAGUCCAUGCCGUAAACGAUGUCUACUAGCCGUUGGGGGCCUUUGAGGCUUUAGUGGCGCAGCUAACGCGAUAAGUAGACCGCCUGGGGAGUACGGUUCGCAAGACUAAAACUCAAAUGAAUUU
rnacentral:rRNA from 1 species